GCGAACGCUGGCGGCAGGCCUAACACAUGCAAGUCGAACGGAUCCUUCGGGAUUAGUGGCGGACGGGUGAGUAACACGUGGGAACGUGCCCUUUGGUUCGGAACAACUCAGGGAAACUUGAGCUAAUACCGGAUGUGCCCUUCGGGGGAAAGAUUUAUCGCCAUUGGAGCGGCCCGCGUCUGAUUAGCUAGUUGGUGAGGUAACGGCCCACCAAGGCGACGAUCAGUAGCUGGUCCGAGAGGAUGAUCAGCCACACUGGGACUGAGACACGGCCCAGACUCCUACGGGAGGCAGCAGUGGGGAAUCUUGCGCAAUGGGCGAAAGCCUGACGCAGCCAUGCCGCGUGAAUGAUGAAGGUCUUAGGAUUGUAAAAUUCUUUCAGCGGGGACGAUAAUGACGGUACCCGCAGAAGAAGCUCCGGCUAACUUCGUG
rnacentral:rRNA from 1 species